AUUCUGGCUCAGGAUGAACGCUGGCGGCGUGCUUAACACAUGCAAGUCGAACGGGAUCCCAGGAGCUUGCUCCUGGGUGAGAGUGGCGAACGGGUGAGUAAUGCGUGACCGACCUGCCCCAUACACCGGAAUAGCUCCUGGAAACGGGUGGUAAUGCCGGAUGCUCCGACAUGACGCAUGUCGUGUCGGGAAAGAUUCAUCGGUAUGGGAUGGGGUCGCGUCCUAUCAGCUUGAUGGCGGGGUAACGGCCCACCAUGGCUUCGACGGGUAGCCGGCCUGAGAGGGCGACCGGCCACAUUGGGACUGAGAUACGGCCCAGACUCCUACGGGAGGCAGCAGUGGGGAAUAUUGCACAAUGGGCGCAAGCCUGAUGCAGCGACGCCGCGUGCGGGAUGACGGCCUUCGGGUUGUAAACCGCUUUUGACUGGGAGCAAGCCCUUCGGGGUGAGUGUACCUUUCGAAUAAGCACCGGCUAACUACGUGCCAGCAGCCGCGGUAAUACGUAGGGUGCAAGCGUUAUCCGGAAUUAUUGGGCGUAAAGGGCUCGUAGGCGGUUCGUCGCGUCCGGUGUGAAAGUCCAUCGCUUAACGGUGGAUCCGCGCCGGGUACGGGCGGGCUUGAGUGCGGUAGGGGAGACUGGAAUUCCCGGUGUAACGGUGGAAUGUGUAGAUAUCGGGAAGAACACCAAUGGCGAAGGCAGGUCUCUGGGCCGUCACUGACGCUGAGGAGCGAAAGCGUGGGGAGCGAACAGGAUUAGAUACCCUGGUAGUCCACGCCGUAAACGGUGGAUGCUGGAUGUGGGGACCAUUCCACGGUCUCCGUGUCGGAGCCAACGCGUUAAGCAUCCCGCCUGGGGAGUACGGCCGCAAGGCUAAAACUCAAAGAAAUUGACGGGGGCCCGCACAAGCGGCGGAGCAUGCGGAUUAAUUCGAUGCAACGCGAAGAACCUUACCUGGGCUUGACAUGUUCCCGACAGCCGUAGAGAUACGGCCUCCCUUCGGGGCGGGUUCACAGGUGGUGCAUGGUCGUCGUCAGCUCGUGUCGUGAGAUGUUGGGUUAAGUCCCGCAACGAGCGCAACCCU
rnacentral:rRNA from 1 species